UGAAAUAUAUGUUUCAUAAUAAUUUAAGUGAUACAAAUUUUCUGCUUAAACUUUCUGCCAAAAAUAUCUGCGCAAACUUAUUCAAAAUGAAAUUAACUCUUAAUCAAGUUGUGCGAAUUCAAAGGCUUCCGAUGUUAUGAAAGAUUUUGCGAAUACAAAGCUAAAAAAGUUUCGCAGCUAAAGUUUAUUUCAAGUCAACGGAAGAGCAUCUUUCCAACCAGCAAAAAGUCACAGAAAAGACACUGUUGAAAAAGUUGGAAAAGAGCAAAAAAAAGAAUGUAAAAAGAUAUUUUUUAAGUGAUAGUGUAAUAAUAUUUCAACAGUUCAGUGAUUUCGCUUUAGCAAACUAAUCCCCUAAGAAGUGUUUCAACUCUUCCCCAAAACGUUGUUAAACCACAUAAUUGUAAUUGUAUUAAAAAAGCCAACAACAAGAACAAAAACAAGCAAAAGGACAACAAAAAGCGCCCAAGGACACAAAAAGCGGCACGCCCAGGACAACAACUAAUUAACUUUGCCAGUUUAAUGAAAAACUAAACGACAAAUGACAGGCCAAGAGCGCCCCAAGGAGAAGCCAUUCACCAACCCCAAACCCGUACAAAAACAAAAAAAAUAAAAUAACUCGAAACCAGAGAAGGCAGACGACGAGGCUCAUUCAUUUUUUAGCAGUGGCAGGACAUCUAGAGGAGGCUAAAGACCCCAACCAAACAAUCAUGAGUGGAGCGAGAGGGAGAGGGAGAGCAGCAACAAUUUCAGUGGUAGCAAAACACUAAACAAGUAUACGACAUGUGGUGCAACAUGGAUAUAUAAAUUUCAUUCAACUUGUUUUGCCUCCUCACCCAACUAAUUGCCGGAAGUUCAAGUGCACAACAAGCAGAAGCUGAAGCUGAAUCUGAAGCAGGAUAAGAAACAAAAGCAAAAAGCACAGCUUCAAGCUGAUUCCCAUCGAGUUUCGAGUCGAUUUCAAUUGGAAUUACCCCCUUCCAAUCACUUCUUUAGCUUUAGUCUUCCCCCUGUGCUCCUCCAGCGGUGCCUUGGGGAUUUGAAUGCUCCUAAAAGCAUUCGGUUUCAUAUUUAUUUAAUGAAUUCGUUUCGGGGCUUCUCUGGCGCCACUAAUUGCGCCAUAUUGUGCACAAAUCCCCAAACAAUCCCAGACCAAACAAAAGUCAUGCAUUGGCAAGCCGCAUAGGAAGCUAGCCGGGCGAUUUUUCAAUUUGUGCACCAUCAAAAACAAUUGAAGUGAACUGAAUGCUUGCCAAGUCGACUUGUUUGAUACUCUAUAAUGGAAGUAUAAUAAUAAACCAACUAGAGCGACUAUAUUAGUGUACAAUUGAAUUUCAUUCGAAGCUACAAUUAUAAAUCCUAAAUAAAUAAUUAUAUUAGAAUUCCUUUUAAAAA